rnacentral:rRNA from 1 species
CCUACGGGAGGCAGCAGUGAGGAAUCUUCCACAAUGGACGAAAGUCUGAUGGAGCGACACCGCGUGAAGGAUGAAGGUCUAACGAUUGUAAACUUCUUUUCUGGGGGAGCAUAAUGAGAGUACCCCAGGAAUAAGGGACGGCAAAUCACGUGCCAGCAGCCGCGGUAAU